GCUUAACCUUGAUUAGUAGGUUCAACAGGAUUAUGUUGUGUUCCAGAAUAAAUUUACAUUGAUCUUGAGGAUGGACCUAAAUAUUAGUGGGACAUUGAUUAAUUCAUUUUUAAAGCUGUUCAGAAAUCUAAUUGGUUAAAAUAUUUUUUGCAGGAGAUCCUUUGAAGAAGAAGUCGUGGUGUAAUACCUGUAACUUAAUCAUCAUCAUUAACUGAAUUUGAAGACUCUGUACUUGAAUCAUUUAAAGGAUUAGUGUCAGGGUCAUGCAUUGUGGGCUUUUGUUAUUGUUUACAUAUUACUCAAUACAUCAAAUAGUGAUAAAAAUACUUGUUUGGUACAUUUCUCAUAAAAAUCAGACAAAAAGAGCAAGGAUUUAUUUAUAAAAGGAUGGUUUAAAUAUAUGAUGGAUUGUAAACACUUUCCAGAUGACCUAAUCUAUUCGUCCCGAAAAAUGGCCGCCGGCAUGAGUUUGAGCCCGCAAAUUCUUUGAAUUCUUCCCGCAAGGAAUGUUGAUGGUCACAGUGGUAGUACUAGUUGAUGGAACUGAACCAUAAACCUCCGACUAUAAGCCCUGGGCUUAUAUUAUUUCGUAAGCGAUUUUUGAUGGGAUUAUACAAGGGGGGGGGGGGUUAUACAUGGAUGAUUUUUUGUGUUAGUGUAAUUAUAGUAAUAAACAUGUACAGUAAUAGUGAUAAACAAGCAUAGUAAUAGUGAUAAAUAGUGGCAAUUAAGUGAUAAACAAUAGUGAUAAACAGGUGGGCUUAUAUUCGGGGGGGGGGCUUAUAUUUGGAAUGAGGUGAGCAUUAGUACACAGGGGGGGCAUAUAUUCGGAGGGCUUAUAUUGAUAUAUUCGGAGGUUUACAGUAUGGGUGCUCAGCCCAGAGUCUGAAAAUAAUAUUUAUAUACCUUUUAUUUAAUAACAUCACUGUAAAUGCAAGUAUUUUGUUUACAUUCGCAGCCUUUCAUACAUAUACCACAUAGGCGACAGAGCUAAAUGUACACGCCACAAAAACUAUAUAUUCAUACACAUUAAAGCCUAGUUCUCAUUCAUCGCAAACUGUCACCGACGAUCGGCGACGCUUAUCGCCGAUGCUCGCCGAUCGCGAAUGUACGAAAGUUCUCAUACAUCGGUGAACGUCGCAGAUGACAGCCGAUGUGUUUCGAAAUUUCCCACCAAGGCACAAAAUGGCCCCG
rnacentral:lncRNA from 1 species